AUGGGACAGAAUUCAGAGCAGAGAAUACAAUUAUCAUGGGACUGGGAGCGCUCCCGCCCUGGGCUCGCCGCCCCGCUGGCCGGGCGCAGCGGCGCGGGGAGGUGCCAGCCGGGCCUCGUCCCGGGCGUCGCCGGUGCCCUUCACCUUUGCCACGGCCCGGCGGCCACCCUCGCUUCCUGCAGGAGAGAGCUAAGCUUGUCUGCUGGGUACCUGCAGCUGGAGCGCAAAAGGAGAGAUUUCACCUCUUCUGGGAGUAGGAAGCUCUACUUUGACACCCAUGCCUUAGCGUGCUUGCUUGAAGACAAUGGGUUUACUACUCAACAAGCAGAAAUCAUUGUAUCUGCAUUGGUCAAGAUCAUGGAGGCCAACAUGGAUGUCGUCUACAAAGACAUGGUCACCAAGAUGCAGCAGGAGAUCACUCUUCAGCAAAUAAUGUCUCAGAUUGCUAAUGUGAAAAAGGAUAUGAUUAUUUUGGAGAAGAGUGAAUUUUCAGCCCUCAGAGCAGAAAAUGAGAAAAUAAAACUCGAACUACAUCAGUUAAAACAACAAGUAAUGGAUGAAAUGGUCAAAGUCCGAACAGAUACCAAGUUAGACUUCAAUCUAGAAAAGAGCAGAGUAAAAGAAUUGUAUUCAAUGAACGAAAAGAAGCUGCUGGAAUUAAGAACAGAAAUAAUGGCGUUGCAUGCCCAGCAAGAUCAGGCCCUCACUCAAACAGACAGGAAGAUAGAAACUGAGGUUGCAGGCCUCAAAACCAUGCUCGAGUCGCACAAGCUUGAUAAUAUUAAAUAUUUGGCAGGUUCUAUGUUUACGUGCCUAACAGUAGCUCUGGGAUUUUAUCGCCUGUGGAUGUAAUAAAGUAUCUAUUUAAAGAG